rnacentral:rRNA from 1 species
AUUGAACGCUGGCGGCAGGCCUAACACAUGCAAGUCGAGCGAGCGGCGGACGGGUGAGUAAUGUCUGGGGAUCUGCCUGAUAGAGGGGGAUAACUACUGGAAACGGUGGCUAAUACCGCAUACUAUCGGAUGAACCCAUAUGGGAUUAGCUAGUAGGUGGGGUAAAGGCUCACCUAGGCGACGAUCCCUAGCUGGUCUGAGAGGAUGAUCAGCCACACUGGGACUGAGACACGGCCCAGACGCCUACGGGAGGCAACAGUGGGGAAUAUUGCACAAUGGGCGCAGGCCUAGUGCAGCCAUGCCGCGUGUAUGAAGAAGGCCUUAGGGUUGUAAAGUACUUUCGGCGGGGAGGCGUUGCCCGCAGAAGAAGCACCGGCUAACUCCGUGCCAGCCGCCGCGGUAAUUC